GAAAAGUUAGCUAACUUAACAAGCAAAUAAUAUUCUAAAUUAUUGAUAAUAAGUGCAAUCCUUUUACUUUUCG
rnacentral:tRNA from 1 species